rnacentral:rRNA from 1 species
AGCGAACGCUGGCGGCAGGCCUAACACAUGCAAGUCGAACGGAUCCUUCGGGAUUAGUGGCGGACGGGUGAGUAACACGUGGGAACGUGCCCUUUGGUUCGGAACAACUCAGGGAAACUUGAGCUAAUACCGGAUGUGCCCUUCGGGGGAAAGAUUUAUCGCCAUUGGAGCGGCCCGCGUCUGAUUAGCUAGUUGGUGAGGUAACGGCCCACCAAGGCGACGAUCAGUAGCUGGUCUGAGAGGAUGAGCAGCCACACUGGGACUGAGACACGGCCCAGACUCCUACGGGAGGCAGCAGUGGGGAAUCUUGCGCAAUGGGCGAAAGCCUGAAGCAGCCAUGCCGCGUGAAUGAUGAAGGUCUUAGGAUUGUAAAAUUCUUUCAGCGGGGACGAUAAUGACGGUACCCGCAGAAGAAGCUCCGGCUAACUUCGUG